AUGGUCCAGCACUUGAUAGACCAUCACAGACCUUCCUACAAUAAAUAGAGCCUCUAACAAAACUAGGCUUUCCUAGACCAAUGGUAAUAGAAUUUUUUAUUUUUAUACAGGAAGGUUGAGAAAGCACCAAAAUCUGCCUGUGGCAUGUGCCCAGGCUGACUUUGAAGGGUUCAAUCUGUGAGUCCUAAAAUUCUUAUGAUGUUGUCUAAAAUAAACAAACAAAAACGUCAGCAGGGCCUAUGGUGGUUCUAUGCAUGGUAAAUGUGUUUGUGACAGGAUUAAACAUGCUUUUUUUUUUUUUUUUUUAAAUCAAGGAGCAGGCAAUCAUGGUAAGUGU
rnacentral:lncRNA from 1 species